AAUCUAUACACAUAUGAGUUUAGCACGUGCGAGGUUGCAAAGCGUGAAGAUCCAACACAUCAACACAUCAAUCUCCAGAACAUGCAUCCUUACAAAAAAUCCUGGAUUACACUGCCGCAUCAAACUCCAGAACAUGCAGCCGAAUUAGCACGGCCGACGGCCAUCAUCUCUCAUGCGAAUUAGCACUGCUGCUCGUCGUUCCCAGCGACCGCACUUCACCAUCUCCAUGCCGCCCUUGCUCACGUGGGCAGAGCCGCCGAGCUUCAGCAUAGACAUAGGAGAUCAAAGGAAGGGGAAGGGAGAGCGUCGCCACCGCUUUCGCCCUUGAUGCGCCGCCGCCAUCGCGCACGACCUGCCCCGCAGUACGAGGUCAAGGAUUGAGAUGAGAUGGGAAAAAUAGAUCGGGAGCGAGCGAAAGACAUAGGCGGAGAACGAUUCGGCUACGCGCGCGUCGGGUGGCUGAGUAUAUCUGCCAGAUUGGAUGUGUUCAGCCAGGUUUUGGAAGCAUAUUCUAUCUUGACUGCCCAUAUCCACGCUUGUGUUUCAAC
rnacentral:rRNA from 1 species